rnacentral:rRNA from 1 species
UACCACAGCCAUAUCACCCUGCAGCCCAAGACUGGUUGCCCACUGAAGCUAAGCAGGGUUGAUCCUGUCAGUACCUGGAUGGGAGACCUCCUGGGAAAACUAGGCUGCUGUUGGAA